UCCCUGAAGGUCCAGUGGCUAAGAUUCCACACUCCCAGUGCAGGGGGCCCAGGUUCAAUCCCUGGUCGGGGAA
rnacentral:tRNA from 1 species